CGGGGCGGUGUCGCUUCCAUCAGGGCGACUGCUUCGGGCUCCGUCUGGUCGCGGCGGGGAUGUGUGAAUAAAAGGCGUCAUUUUCCUAACAGCGACCCCCUAAUCCCCGCUUUAUAUCGCCUACGGGCUCUUCUGCGCCUCAAGGAGCCAGCCCUGGGGCUCGUUGCCUGAAUCCUUCGUGUCCAGGCUGCCUUUGAGAACUGUAAAAUGCCCAGAAAAGCUGAGGGGGAAAUGGCCAUGGCGCCAUGGCGGUGCUGAGGGGACCCUGUGUGCCAGGAUGAGGUGGUGCGGUCCUCGGCAGGGCUGUGGGGCAGGAAGGAAGCCUGUGUUGUGUAAGGAGCUGACCUGACGUGGCUGCUGGGCUGGAGGAGCAAUAAAGAUAAAGUGCACCAGCUGAGUCCCAAAUCAAAGCAGGGAGUUGUGAGAAGUGGCCAUCUUCAAAAAAAUUUUUCUCCAGCCUAAGCUACUUACAAGCGGUAGCAGUGUGUUAGUUAAGGGAGCAAGUCGACGUUUCUGUCAAGUGCUUGAGGUCGGUCUCAGAUCACCAUGCCACAGUCCCACUCGUUCUCAUCUGAAGGACCUGCUUCCCCUGUAUUUCUGCAAAUGGCCUGAAUUCAUCCUGCCUUUAGCCCAUGAAUCACCCAGGAGCCCCAGCCUACCAGCUUUCCCAAGCGGCAGAAGACCUGUGGUAAGAAACCUCUCAUCUAGCCGGACCAUCAUGACCUGCAUGACCAAGUUCUCUCAGCCUCUGAUGAGAAAUCCCACCUUUUCCAAAGCAAACACAGACAGGCUCAGCUCGUUGGACAAUGCCCCAAGCAGACUGACAAAAUCUUGUUUGAGGGGGAGGAGAGCUGCCAGAACAGAAACCGGAGUUGCUGAGCUCCAGUCGACUGCUGUCACUGUUCCCAGCUUAAUUCACUGCCAGUGAUCCCAUGGUUAACACAGUCAUUGUGGAUAUUUUUUCUAGCAGCUCAACCCUUCAUAAUGUCGCAGAAGUAAGAUCUUUCCAGAGAUUAUGUAUUUGGACUUCUCUUCUUCAAAUAUCUUGAGAUUAUCAUUCUCCAUAUGUGUUUGAAGUAGUACAUAUUGGCUGCUCUUUGCUAGUGCCUAAAACAUUGCUAAGACUACAGGAAGCUACUGUUCUGACUGGGUGGGUAACUGAGCAGCAUUUAUGCAUUCUUGUCUUUACUCCUCUCUCUGCAUAAGUUUUUGUUCCCACAAGUAAUCCUAGUCAGAGUAGAUUUUAGUUAUUCCAUUUGCUCAAGAACCUCUGAAUGGGGCCUCUUGGACACAGCAGCUUUGUCUCCCCUCUACCCAUACGUACAUAGGAGGAGAGAUUGUCUUGAUGUUCAAAGCAGUGUGUAACAGAAACAAGCAGCAUUUUGUUCUCAGAAAUAAUCAUUGCUUAUACGAAGUUUUUUGAACAGUGCAUUUCAGAAUGCAUUCCACUUCUUGUCUCAUGGCAAGAGGAAUUGGGCUUUACUCUCUGGGGUCUGAUUAUCACUGCACUUGGAACACAGGUCUCCUGUUGAAGUACUGAUACGGAGCAGGUGCUUUGAAGACUCAGGGAUAUUUCUGUUGGAGAAAGCAGAUGAGUGAGUCCUAAUCAGUUAGUUUACAAUGAUAUACAUUUAUAGAUCUGUGUGUAUCCAUCCAUACUGAAAAAAAAAAAAAACACACAAGGAUAUUUGAGAAGAGGGAGCCCAAUAGCUCUGUAAAAUAAGCGUGCUGAGAAGCCCAGAGAUGUAGAGAUGAGUAGGUCACCUCCUCAAAGAAGCCUUCAGUGACCACUUCCCUUCUUAAAGUGCUCAGACUUGUUUCCACCCUUGGACUAGCUUUUCAAGUACGGUUUUAAAGUUUGGGUUGUAAAAAAAUGCACAUACAAAAGAAUUCAUUCCAGAUCAGUAGCAUACUGCAAAUUAACAACAUUUGAAAGAGCAGCUUGAAGUCCACUGAAAAUAUGACUCUAAUGGACAUCAUCUGAUCAGCUGGUAUGGACAGGCAAAGUUUCAUAUGAUACAUAAUUUACAAUAGUCCAUAAAAAAGCAGCAGUUUAUUAAAGGAAGAUGACAAUGGAGGAAAGAUGAACCACAGGGGCAAAAAUAGAACCUUUUAAUAAUUGCAGAGAUGAGGCAUUACCAGAUUUAGAAAACAGGUAGGCAGGCCAAGGGAGAACAGACUCAGGAGGAACCACGACAAAGCAAUUGGUGAAUAGAUAUGCAAAUGUUCCAAGGCAACCAUCUUGAGUAUUUACAUCACCAGUAGGAUAUCUCCUGCAUAUUCUAAGCACGUAGCAGAAAUGUUAUGAUCUAUCAAGAACUAUAACCACUGGGUUAUAAAAUUCUGCAUUAUAUCAAGGUAGUCUUGUAUUUUGAGUAUUUAAACACUGAAUAAUUGCAGUCUUUUCAGCACUAUACAUUUUCUAAGCAAACUUCUCAUGUGCCCCCAUUCACUUUUGACUGAACUGACUUUUGACUGAACUGAAUCAGUUUUGCUUAGUUUAUAUUUUACCUUUUUUUUUUUUAGCUAACAGAUUUGCAGUUUUAUUAGUCAAUGUCAAUUAGGUAGCAGGAGGUGCUGGUUUGUUAUGUUAGCAAUGACAGAGGUACUCAGAUUCUGUAAACUAUUGCUUAAAAUGCUAUUUGUUAGAGCUAGCACUAUGAAGAAAGAGAGGACAGCAUAGAUCGUUCUACAUACUUUCAGAUGCUGUGAAGACCAAGCUAUGCUAUGAACAUGCCUCUGAUUCACAUAGAGCACACUGUGCAGACCCUGUCCAUGGAAAACUUAUCCCAUUUUGCUCACUUGGGCUAUUAAAAAAAAUUUAUUACAAGAAAACUGUUCAUCAUUUCUACUGUCAAGCAGAAAGGAUGUUCACAUGAGAAGUUGCUGCACUUUUAAAUAAAGACAAGGACACACAGGUGGUGUAAUCACCAAUACCAAGUGGGAGCUGCAUGCAGGCCCCUCUAUUACAAUCACCUCGCCAAACUUCCCCUGCAACCAGAGGUUAUGUGCAGAACACAGGCAUGAAUCCAAGCUGUACAGACAGCACCCUGCACCUAUUCAGAUUAAGUGCUAAGAGUUAUGUGUAGCACUAACUCCUCGUUGUGCAACAGUCUUCACGUCAGGAUCACUGCAGAUAACUAUUAGAAAUACCAUGCAGAUCAACAGUAUAUACACCACUAAAACGAUAAGUUUCCUUGCACUUCCUUGUAAGCAUUGUUUAGAAACAUCUUAAGCAUCAUCAGGUCACUGCUGAUUUCUUAAGUUUGAAAUUGGUUUUCAGUUACUACACAAUUUCUAAGUCUCACUAUGCAUUUAUCAUGUGCUUCAUCUCCUUAUCCAAGCUUAACUCAUUUUUAACAGGGGGAAGAAGGCAGCCAAGAUCCAAGUAUUGAUUAUUUCUGGCUUAUCCAUCACAGGAAGCUUAAAUAAUUAAAAGGUUGCUGGCAGUUGAAUUGAUGAUCAUCAAAUAUUGUGUUUUAACUUCAUCUGACUGAGAGCAGCCAUGCUACAAACCCAGAUUCAAUUAGGUUUCCUCAGCUCUCCAGUUUGAUACACAAACUGAUGGAGUUAGGUUGGAAGGAAGUUCUGAAGGUCACCUAGUCCCAGACCCUGCUCUAAUCCACUGUGUCAAGGUUGGGCAUCUAGUUAUUGGGUCUGGGAGAGCAGCAAUUGUAGAGGUAGUUUAUUCUGCAACCACCUCAUAAUGCAGGGCUUCUUUUUCUGUAGAAGGUGAUAUUAUCAAGUCCCAGAGUCACUGUAUAGACUACAUGAACCACUGGCUAAUGCAGCAGUCCUUAUGAUCCUAGAGGGCAAAUUCUGUUUACUAGAAUACCAACUGCAUUCACAGAUGCAGAUUGGUAUUUCUGGAGAUGUGAAAAUACUUCCAGUGUGGGUUUUUUUUAUUUUUUUUAAUUUUAUUUUUUUAUACAAUUUACUCUGGAUGUCUUGGUUAAACACAAACAUCUAGUCAUUUCUAUUCCAUUUCCAUGCACAGCUUUGUUUGCUUUAUGAACUUUUUGGUUUACUAUUAACCCUAGUUCCUUCUUUCUAGUCUACAGCUGAGAGGUUCUAAUUAAAACUUCAGAUGAUCUACCGAUUGCUUAAAAAAAAAAAAAAAAAAGCCUUUUGUAUCUCCUACACUAUUUUCCACUCCAUUCCUUGGCAAAUUUUAGUUUGCACUUUUUUUUUUAUGACUGUGGAACAUGGUUAAAGAGUGUCAGUAUAUUGUUUGUAAUAGUGGAAAAUGUUUUUUUGGGGAAUGUUAAUUUAGAACCCAAUGAGAUGUAUUAAUAGUAUCCCCUCUGGUGUUAUAGUAAAAUUCAUCUUUCUGAUGCUGCUUCAUUUAUGUCUCCCUGACGAUUCUCUGUUGUGGACUGAACUAAAUUACUUUGUGCCACCAUCAAAUCUGCCAUCUGCCAACUCAUGUGACUACUUCCGUAGUCCGGGAUGGAGUCUGUGCCAUCUUUUGGGCAUCAAAACCUGAAUAUCUAUCCUCACUCAUUUUCUCAUAGCCAGCUUUUACUCCAUGGCAGUACUUCUCUGUUGUAUUUACGUAGGCUACGCUGGCAGCAUUGCUUGCUUUUAUAACACGAGUAAGGGACUCCAUACAUCAGAACAGCAUUUUUUUCCACUACAGCGAGUCAAGAUGGAUCAUAACAGUGUCUUGUAAGACUGCUUUACCAGUAUAGAAAAGUGAAACCAGCAAAGCAUUGCCACAGUGGAUGACUCUAGCAGCAACGCAACAUUGUAGGAUGGCAGCAAAAUCCACCAUCCAGACACAAAUCUAAUACUUGGACCCACAUCCACGCUAAGAUUCCUGUAACACUGAGAAGCUGCACAAGGCAACUCUAACUAGCACAACUAUCACCGUCAUGUUCUGAAGUACAGCCUCAAACAACAAUAUUUUCACAUCUGGUGGUAUAUUUGACCUGUCAGUUUCAACCUCUUUUUUUUCCUCCAAAUUUAAUAGUAUUGUCACACAAGCGAUUUCCACAUUAAAAAGGGAUAACUGCAGAAUUGGAACAUAAAUUCUGCAAAUUCUCUCAACAGAUUACUCUGACAGCACAGACUGCUCAAGGUUUCCAAGGCAGGAAGAUUCACCUUCAUGCACAGCUUUAAAUGUAAGCCUGGGCUCAGCAACUGCAGCCAGUCAGUACAACUACACAGCUGUGAUGCGUCUUCACACAAACUAGGAUGCUCUGUUAGGCCCACCUUAACAUACAUAUAAAGAAAAGAAUCCAGAAAUCAUUUUAAUAUAAAAUGUUUUUAUUGUUUUUGAAAACAUUUAAAAAACAAUUUUUGAGCACUUUCAAUAAAAAAAAUAACUGAAAUGCUACUGCAAUAUUCAACUACUGUAGUUUCAGCAGUACAACAGACAAAACACUGGGGAAGAGGAGGGAAACUGGAUUUCCUGCAUUAAAUGAAAACAUGGAACAGGGAUUUUUCUUUCCUUACGGUGCAGUAAAUAAAGCACAGUAUAGUACAAGACUAUUAUAUGAACGUCAGAUGCACUGCACAAGAAAUGCUUUCCUUCUUUUCAGUUCAGAAGUCAGUGCUUAUUGCAAUUAUUUGCAAAUUAUUUACUUCAUGAAUUCUUAUCAUGAUAAAAUGAUGCAAAAAUGUUUCUCAACACCCGAACAAUAAAAAAUAAUCCAAGAAAAGAACAUAUUCAACAAUAACUAAGCUGAAUUAGUUAACAUAAAGAAGUAAAUAACUUGUGAAUAACUAUGCUCACAUGGUUAACACUGGUUAACCAGUUUCAAUACAGCAAAAUAAAAAAAAUAAAAGUGGUUACAGGAGUAUAUCUAGUACUGUACAAGAUUAAGUCAUUAACACUCAUGCACAUUUUGUGAUCAUGUAUUAACAUGGUGAAGCAAACUAAAUUUAAUUUUUCCUGCUGUAAUAUUCUCAUGUAAGAGAAUAAGAAAUAGACAUAUCUCAUUGAGAUCAAUGCACAUUGCUACAUAAGACAAUUUCACCUGUCACUUUUAAUGACAUUUUGCCUUUUAAUAAUGAAACACAUUAGAAAUUUUUUUUUGUUUUAUUUUUUUUUAAUUUUUUUGUGUGUGUUUUUUGUUUUGUGUUUUUUGUUAUUUUAUUAUUAUUUUUUUAAUCUGUGGGCUGUAUUUCUUGCAUUUAUCCUAAGGAACGUGCCUGCCACAGGUUCAACAGAAUUUUAGUGCAAUAUAUGAACCCAGAAAGUUUGCUGGACUAACCAACCAAAUUUAAAGUGUUUGCUGCAAUACAGUACACAGGGUACAAAUUCACUAGUUCAUAUACUUUAGCAAAAAUUGCUAUCAAAAUCAUUUAUUUCUAAUGUUAGCAGGAAGCCAAUUAUGUAAACAAGGGGUCAGAACUAUCUCAAAUUCUUAGUUUUGGAGUAUCUGACACAGGCUUCCGUUUGUUAAAAAUCACAGAAUUUUCCUUUGGGUAUUGCAUACUUUGGUGUGCAGUAGUGCUCUGUCUCAAUGUAAAGAACUAACUAGCACUAAGUAUAGGGACCUAACAGAAUAUUAGUCAUAACACCAACAUACAAACACCUAUAAAUUAACACACACCUAUGUACAAAGCUGUGCCUAUGCCUUGGGUUUCACUUGAAAGAAUCCUUACUGAAUUGAACGUUUCUUAAAUUUAACAUACAUUUGCUUUAAAUCCACUGAUUAUAGAAUAUGCCUACUAAUUAAGUCACAUGUUAGGUUCAAUAUAAUGUUUGUAUUUAAAAAUAAUUUAAAAGGUACUUUUAAAAACCUUUGGUGACGGCUGCAUAAUUUAUAGUGCAUCAGCUUUUUAAAUCUACUCUUGCUUUACUGAGAAAUGUUCUGAAGAACCAGAAGUUAGGCAAGAACUUGUUUACAGCAAGCCCAUGUCAGUCUCAGUGCCAGCGCCAUGGAGGUGAGGCCAGCACAGCAUGCAGACGCAGAUGGCUGCGGCACAGACGUCCUGCCCACCACUCUCCCCUGGCAGGUAGGGUUUACAUAUUCACAGCACUUUGCACAGGGUCAGAAAAGAGAGGUGCUGAAUGUGUCUCAGAUCCAGUGAAGUCAACAAGAGGAUGAUCAGCACCUUUCUGGCUAAAGGCCACAGACAGGUAGACAAUUCACGCCCUGCCUUCAGCAACUUCUGUCUAAAGGAAAAAUGGUUCCAGCCUUACUGACAGGCACCUAACAGAACUCUACACUGCGGUUUUUAGAGUCCUCCCCACUUCCUUGAAAAAAAAUUAAAAGGGUCACUUGGUCUUAAAGUAAACCACACCAUCGCACAUCCACAUGUUUUAAGGAAGGAUCUGAACUCUCCAAGUCUGUUCCUAAUGAAGCGUCAAAACUUCUGAUGCAAGCACAGUGAAAUCAGGCUGCAUUUAAGGUGCUAUAGCUUAUCGCAACUGUUUGUCCCUGAAGAAGAGGCCACAGACUGGGUGUCAAUCAGAGCAAGAGCAAAAAAAGCCAUGGUACACCAGUACCUGGGGUGCCAAUGCAAUAUCACAAAUUGAAUCAAGCACAGCCAAAAAAUAAAAAUCCAGUACUGAGAUCAAGACAUUAGCAGAAUCUGAAGAAGGAGGGGAAAAAAAAGUCACCUAAAAAUGUGAGCAUCUCUUCCUCAAUAAAUCUAGGAGGGCUUAUUGUGCCUUCCCAUUCAUAAGUUCAUGACUGCUCAUUCAAAGAAGUAAUUCAAGAGAGGAAAACGUUUUCUGUUCUGCUUUCAGUUCUGUACAUAUCAGUUCACAAGAUAAAUAAUCAAUUUUAUACUAAGCUUAAGGGAUGGUACUGUAGCAUCCUUAGUACAAUCCUUUUGUAAAAGCUUGCCUCUGCAAGUCCUCUUUCUAACAGCAGGGUCACGGGCUAGUUAAACUCUCUUUUCAUCAUUACGGAAAACCAUCCCAUGCUGAUAAAACAACAGGUCUUUUUUGUUUCGUUAAGUGAACUACUAAGGUAGAAGUCUAAAUCCCAUUUUCUAGCUAAGGAGUAUUAGCAAAAAUUAGAUUCAUCUGUCCUCCCAAAUCAUUUGAUGAAAAUGGAAUUCAGCCUUCUAAAACAGUAAGCACUUUGAAAAGUUUUACCCAAAGAAAGAUCACAUCUGACUGUGUAUCUGUAAAGUGCCUGGCAGUAUUAUGGCUCUAUAUGAAAUAUUUUUAGAUCAACCACAUUUUCUAAUAUUUUAAUCGUAUUUUGUUUAAAACAGAAAGACAGAAAGGCUCAACCUACUGAAACAUAGAGGAAAUAACAUCUUCCUACACCCUCCACUAUGUUAAAAAAGAGCAAACUUAAAAUCGAAUCUUUAAAAAUAGUAUUUUAAUGAGCUCCAACAGCUCUUUUGUUUUUAAAAAGAGGGAAGAACAUCACAUGACUUCUUUAGCUCUGAUAAAUAAUCAAAUAGUACCUAUCAUUUUAAAAUAGGGUGUUACUCCUAGAUU